CCCUGCCCAGGCCAGGCAGCCCAGCGCGGUCCCGGCCGCGCCCGCGAAGCGCCGCAGCCGCUCCUGGGGGCGGGGCAUGCAAAUCAGGCCGCGCGGCGCGCCAAUCAGGGGGCGGCAUGCAGAUCAGGGCGCGCGGCGCGCCAAUCAGAGGGCGGCAUGCAAAUCAGGGCGCAGGGCGCGCGAAUCAUGGGGCGGCAUGCAGAUCAGGGGGCGGGGCGCGCGAAACAGGGAGGGGCAUGCAAAUCAGGCCGCGCGGCGCGCCAAUCAGGGAGCAGCAUGCAAAUCAGGGCGCAGGGCGCGCGAAACAGGGAGUGGCAUGCAAAUCAGGGCGCAGGGCGCGCGAAACAGGGAGUGGCAUGCAAAUCAGGGCGCGCGGCGCGCCAAUCAGGGAGCGGCAUGCAAAUCAGGGCGCGGGGCGCGCGAAACAGGGAGCGGCAUGCAAAUCAGGGCGCGCGGCGCGCCAAUCAGGGAGCGGCAUGCAAAUCAGGGCGCGCGGCGCGCCAAUCAGGGGGUGGCAUGCAAAUCACGGCGCGCGGCGCGCCAGUCAGGGGGCGGCAUGCAAAUCAGGGCGCAGGGCGCGCCAAUCAGAGGGCGGCAUGCAGAUCAGGGGGCGGGGCGCGCGAAACAGGGAGGGGCAUGCAAAUCAGGGCGCGGAACGCGCCAAUCAGGGGGCGGCAUGCAAAUCAGGGCGCGGGGCGCGCGAAACAGGGAGUGGCAUGCAAAUCAAGGCGCGCGGCGCGCCAAUCAGGGGGCGGAAUGCAAAUCCGGGCGCGCGGCGCGCCAGUCAGGAGGCGGGGCAUGCAAAUCAGGGCGCGCGGCGCGCCAGUCAGGGGGCGGCAUGCAAAUCAGAGCGCAGGGCGCGCGAAACAGGGAAGGACAUGCAAAUCAGGGCGCGCGGCGCGCCAAUCAGGGAGCGGCAUGCAAAUCAGGGCGCGCGGCGCGCCAGUCAGGGGGCGGCAUGCAAAUCAGGGCGCGGGGCGCGCGAAACAGGGAGCGGCAUGCAAAUAAGGGCGCAGGGCGCGCCAAUCAGGGAGCGGCAUGCAAAUCAGGGCGCAGGGCGCGCCAAUCAGGGGGCGGCAUGCAAAUCAGGGCGCGGGGCGCGCGAAACAGUGAGCACCAUGCAAAUCAGGGCGCGCGGAGCGCCAAUCAGGGGGCGGCAUGCAGAUCAGGGCUCGCGGCGCGCCAAUCAUGGGGCGUCAUGCAAAUCAGGGCGCAGGGCGCGCGAAACAGGGAGCGGCAUGCAAAUCAGGGCGCGCGGCGCGCCAAUCAGGGAGCGGCAUGCAAAUCAGGGCGCAGGGCGCGCCAGUCACGGGGCGGCAAGCAAAUCAGGGCGCGGGGCGCGCCAAUCAGGGAGCGGCAUGCAAAUCAGGGCGCGCGGCGCGCCAAUCAUGGGGCGGCAUGCAGAUCAGGGGGCGGGGCGCGCGAAACAGGGAGCGGCAUGCAAAUCAGGGCGCGGGACACGCCAAUCAGGGGGCGGAAUGCAAAUCAGGGCGCGGGGCGCGCGAAACAGGGGGCGGCAUGCAGAUCAGGGCUCGCGGCGCGCCAAUCAUGGGGCGUCAUGCAAAUCAGGGCGCAGGGCGCGCGAAACAGGGAGUGGCAUGC
ensembl:lncRNA